UUAACUCAAAUUUGUAUGGUGUUGCAGCGUUCGCCUACCUUUACCGGUAGGGGCGCUGUUCCAACUGCAUACAAAGAGUAA
rnacentral:pre_miRNA from 1 species